GUUGCUCAGAAGAUUGUUGCAACAAGGAAGAAACAGCAACUCUCAAUAGGACCCUGCAAAUCUCUACCAAACUCUCCAAGCCACUCAUCCGUGUGUUCUGCCCAGGUUUCUGCUGUACAUAUCAGCCAGACCAGUAAUGGAGGAGGGAGUUUAAGUGAUUAUUCCUCCUCUGUCCCAUCAACUCCAAGCACCAGCCAGAAGGAGCUACGGAUUGAUGUUCCUCCCACUGCCAACACACCAACUCCUGUCCGUAAACAGUCCAAGCGCCGAUCCAACCUCUUCACGUCUCGGAAAGGGAGUGACCCAGACAAAGACAAGAAGGUCCUGGAGAGCAGAACAGAUAGCAUUGGAAGCGGUCGCGCAAUCCCAAUUAAACAGG